rnacentral:rRNA from 1 species
UACGUAGGCAGCGAGCGUUGUUCGGAAUUACUGGGCGUAAAGAGUGCGUAGGCGGGGAUCUAAGUUUGGUGGGAAAUCUCCCGGCUUAACUGGGAGGGUGCGCCGAAGACUGGAGUGCUUGAGUGUGGGAGAGGAAAGCGGAAUUCCUGGUGUAGCGGUGAAAUGCGUAGAUAUCAGGAGGAACACCUGCGGUGUAGACGGCUUUCUGGACCACGACUGACGCUGAGGCACGAAAGCGUGGGUAGCAAACAGG